rnacentral:lncRNA from 1 species
AGAUCGAGCAUCCCUAGGUGUUCCCAGACAACACACGUGAGUCUGAUGCUACAGAACCUAACCCUCUGCCCCUCCAGCAACAGGGAGGCACUUCCAGCCCCUGCUCUUGAGCACGUACUGGGUGCCAGGCUCGGUACUGGAUGCGUGGAUGUACAGUGAAUAGGGUGGCAUUCUUGCUGCCCUCACUGAGCUAGCUAUACUAGUGGUGGACGUCAGGGUGUGACAGGGAAGACUCAACCGAGAAAGAGGCAGAUGGUCUGAGUCCAGCAAGAGUGAGGAGAGUUCAUGAGGCACCGGGAAGAGGACAGUGUCCUUUUGGAGCCCUGAGGCAGGGACCUGCUUAGCACAGCUGAGUCCCAGGAUCCCUGGACUAGCUGGAGCACAAUGAGAGGAGGUGGGGGGCGCAGCCGGGCCAGGUCAUGUUGGACUCUGUAAGCCACGCUAGGAGAGGCUAUAAGCAGAGGGUUCCACAGUGAGGUUGGCAUCGCAAAAGAAAUACCUGUCUGGCUGCAGAUGGAGACAGGGUAGCAUGAGUUAGUAGUGGAGAGCAGCUGCAAUAGCCCAGGCAAGAAAUAAGGAGGCUUGGAUGAGGAUGGGGGCAGAGAGAUGGAAGGGAGCCAAUAGAAUCCGGAUAUGUUUUUGAGGGAGAACAGAAAAACCAGUGAGAUUGAUUUCAUGCACAGAUUAGGGGCCAAGCACCGUGGCUUACGCCUGCAAUCCCAACACUUUGGAAGAUGGAGGCGGAAGGAUCACCAGAGCCCAGGAGUUUGAAACUUCAAAACCAGCCUGGGCAACAUAGCAAGACCCCAUCUCUAAAAAAAAAAAAAAAAAUUAGCUGGCCCUGGUGGCACACGCCUGUAGUCCCAGCUACUAAGGAGACCAAGACAGGAGAAUUACUUGAGUCCUAAAGUCAAGGGUGCAGUGAGCCGUGAUUGCACCACUGCACUCCACCUUGGGAGACAGAGCAAGACUUGUCUCAAAAAAAAAAAGAGAGAGAGAUUAGGGAAAAAGAAAUAUCAAGGGUAGCUUCUGGGUUUCUAGCUUAAGCAACCAGUGAUGUGUUUUAAACCAUGGGGGCAGAUUUGAUGAUAAUGAGAGUAGAAUUUGAGAUGAGAAGGGGGCCUGGACAAGCCCUAAGGAGCUCCAGCAUGUGAUGGAUGUGUGUAGGAGCACGAGCAAAGGAGAUGGCGAAGGAGCAACUGGAGAGGUGGCUGGCAAAAUAGAAGACAAUGCUUGAGCCACCACACCUGGCCCAUUUGGGUCACCUAAAGAACAUUCUUUAGUGUUUGGUGUGUGUGUGUGUGUGUGUGUG